rnacentral:lncRNA from 1 species
ACAUAAACUUAAUAAUUGUAAAAUUUAAGCGAUUUCUGUAAUUAGAUUAUUUUUUUAUUUCAAUAUUACCUCUAUUUCUCCUAUUAGUUCAACAGAAAAAAAAGGACAUUAACAAAAAUAUAUGCUUUUUCCGGAGGCAGAUUGUGAGCUUAAAUGAACGGUGACCCCAUUUUUUUACUUCAUUUUUCUUUUAAGUAUAUGAUAAAGUUCAUUUAAAAAUUUAAAAAAAAAUAUAGCGAAAUCCUAUAUUAGAAAAAAAAUAUUGAUUUAUACCCAGGAGCCCCCUCAGUUU